CAGUCGAAGGGACAGGGAGCUUGCUCCGCUGACGAGUGGCGAACGGGUGAGUAAUAUAUCGGAACGUACCCAAGAGUGGGGGAUAACGUAGCGAAAGUUACGCUAAUACCGCAUACGAUCUAAGGAUGAAAGCAGGGGACCUUCGGGCCUUGUGCUCCUGGAGCGGCCGAUAUCUGAUUAGCUAGUUGGUGAGGUAAAGGCUCACCAAGGCGACGAUCAGUAGCUGGUCUGAGAGGACGACCAGCCACACUGGAACUGAGACACGGUCCAGACUCCUACGGGAGGCAGCAGUGGGGAAUUUUGGACAAUGGGCGCAAGCCUGAUCCAGCAAUGCCGCGUGAGUGAAGAAGGCCUUCGGGUUGUAAAGCUCUUUUGUCAGGGAAGAAACGGCUGUGGCUAAUAUCCACGGCUAAUGACGGUACCUGAAGAAUAAGCACCGGCUAACUACGUGCCAGCAGCCGCGGUAAUACGUAGGGUGCAAGCGUUAAUCGGAAUUACUGGGCGUAAAGCGUGCGCAGGCGGUUUUGUAAGUCUGUCGUGAAAUCCCCGGGCUCAACCUGGGAAUUGCGAUGGAGACUGCAAGGCUAGAAUCUGGCAGAGGGGGGUAGAAUUCCACGUGUAGCAGUGAAAUGCGUAGAGAUGUGGAGGAACACCGAUGGCGAAGGCAGCCCCCUGGGUCAAGAUUGACGCUCAUGCACGAAAGCGUGGGGAGCAAACAGGAUUAGAUACCCUGGUAGUCCACGCCCUAAACGAUGUCUACUAGUUGUCGGGUUUUAAUUAACUUGGUAACGCAGCUAACGCGUGAAGUAGACCGCCUGGGGAGUACGGUCGCAAGAUUAAAACUCAAAGGAAUUGACGGGGACCCGCACAAGCGGGGGAUGAUGUGGAUU
rnacentral:rRNA from 1 species